rnacentral:rRNA from 1 species
GUGGGGAAUAUUGGACAAUGGGCGAAAGCCUGAUCCAGCCAUGCCGCGUGUGUGAAGAAGGUCUUCGGAUUGUAAAGCACUUUAAGUUGGGAGGAAGGGCAGUAAGUUAAUACCUUGCUGUUUUGACGUUACCGACAGAAUAAGCACCGGCUAACUUCGUGCCAGCAGCCGCGGUAAUACGAAGGGUGCAAGCGUUAAUCGGAAUUACUGGGCGUAAAGCGCGCGUAGGUGGUUUUGUAAGUUGGAGGUGAAAGCCCCGGGCUCAACCUGGGAACUGCCUCCAAAAAUGCAUGACUAGAGUACGGUAGAGGGUAGUGGAAUUUCCUGGGUAGCGGUGAAAUGCGUAGAUAUAGGAAGGAACACCAGUGGCGAAGGCGACUACCUGGACUGAUACUGACACUGAGGUGCGAAAGCGUGGGGAGCAAACAGGAUUAGAUACCCGAGUAGUCC